AGUACUGGCACCUUCCCCCCCACCCAAAAAAGAAAAAAAAUGGAGAGGGGCAGGACACAAGGUGCACCGCCGUCUCCUUCCUUUGCUCACCCCCUCCCUCCCCAGUGCCACAGUCCAUUCCCCUCAUGCUGAGGGAGGGCAGCCAAUUUCCCGAGGAUGAAGGCAGCAGAAGCCCCAGCGGACAUGCAUCUUCACCUCAGAGCUGCUCCCUCAGGCCUGCCACUGUCACCUCUCCUCCCUACUAGGGCUGUGGACAGCAGCUUGAGACCCCCGAUUCUGCUUCCACCCACUAAAAUUGAAAGACAAAGGCAACUGCAGCUCAAACCAUAUCACAAGGGGACGAGAGAAGAUGACCAAGCAGGAAGAGGAGGAUUCAUGCUGUAGUCUUCCUCUUAUCUCCCUGGUGAGCAACUCUGCCAGAACUGCGAAGUAAAUGGCAACCUGGGGGGGUGGGGUGGCGAGGGGGGGGGACAAAGUAAACCAGGCACCCACCAGAGUGUCUGAGGAGAAAACAGGGGAAGGGGAAGAGAAAUCCAGCUCCAUCAGAGAACAGCUGCUUCCUCCUCCUCACGCUUCCUUCCUCCUCAUACUCACUCCGGUCCAUUUCAUUCGCUCACUCCUAAUUUAAAAAGUAAGUUUUCGAAAUAAUUCAAAGGAAUAAGCAAAUCUUUUGGGAGGGAAACUCUGCCAUAGUAUUCUGUACACUUUAGAAUAGUUUGUGUUUAUCCUGUUGCAAAUUAUCCGUCUCUCUGAGUGUGUAUUAAAAAUAGCCUAUGUUCACAGAAAAGGAGUAUAAAGAUACUGCCCUGAGACAAGACACAACACAGUUGCUAUAAAUUCAGGGGGUGGGAAAUAAAUAAUGUUAACUGUUUGAACAUGUGAUUUAGCUUGGACAGUUCAAUGUGCAAGUUAAAAAAGCGAAUACAAAUUAGUCAUAAAACAGACCCAUCUAUUAUUCACUGAGUUUGCUGUGCUGUCAUGAACUGAAAUAUGUUUUUACUGGAGUGAGUGCUUUUGCAUCAAGGGAGAUAUUAAAGCAAAGCUUUGCUUUGCUCCUCAAAGGUCUUAUUUUGUCUUUGAUUUGCUACCCUCAAUACUAUUAAAGAGCUUUGGGUCAGAAAUGAAAAUAUCCCUCAUAAAACAAAUUGGGAUGGCAGCCUGUGUUCACAUACUAACAUUUUUUCCAAUAUCCUCUGCUGCAUGUUUAGAACAGCUACUUUACAGGUAGGCCUCAGCCUUCCAGAGAAUUGUCUUGAUAGAUGUAUUGCUCAGAGCAACAUCUGUAAUUUAUGAAUAUAGAAAAUCCACACUCUCUCUCAUUGUCUUUGUGGCACAGAUGUGCUUUGGGCCAAGUGAGAUGCUUGGAUAAUGGAAAGGCAGAGUGCUAAUAAAUCUUUCAGCUAUGAAGGCAAUGCUUACAUCUUCCCUUUAAAAUAAAUCCAAAGCUAAAUUCUAAAUCACAUCUUUAGAGAUCACUAGUGCUGUUUCUUCAUGUUAUUGCUAUUGUUAUAUUGAAUGUUUGCUUUGGUAAUAUGCGGUAGCUGAUGUUUGAUUCAAAAUGGAUCUAAUUAAGCCGAGAACAUCUGACAUUUUUCCCAACCAAGAAUAAAACUAGUAAAUCACGAAAACCCUAUAAAAAGGAGCUAUACUGCUCUGGAUGAGGUGUUGGAAUCAUUUAAGUUACUGUCUGAGAUAACAGCAGAAUGGCUGGAACUAUUACAAUAUGCUGUGAAAAAUUCUUCGCUGGUAUAAAUAACGUGAUCCCAAUCUGUGCAGACUGUGAAGAAAAUUAAGAACAUAGAGGUUGAUGCACCGGAACAAGGCAAUGAUCCAUCCAGUUUCAUAUCCUGCUUCUGACAGUGGCCUAGGCAUGAUGAUCAGAGGAAGAAAUACACUCAGCCAGUUGUGGGAUACUGUACCAGAGGGAGACAUUUUUUUCUUAAACCCAGCUGGUGAUCAGUAUCAGCUUUAAAGCCUGAGGAUUGAUGACAGUUGUAAAUUUCACCCUAGCUGGUGCAACCAAAUUGGAUUGCUUCUUUCUGUCCCCAACCUGCCCUUCACCUGUCCUCCUCAGAACUACCAUUCCGUUGCCUGUAGCUAAAGAUGUCGACUCUUUUUUCGUAGAUGAUGUCCCCAGAUAGAUUUUCAAUUUCUACUGCCUCACACAAGUGCUCCACCUAUUUUUUUUAAGAUGAACUGUGUAGUAGUCUCCUUGGAGUGAAAACUGAAAUAAUAAUAAAAACCCUUCUAUGAAUCACAGCAUUUGUAGGCCUUCUUUUCUCAUCCCUCUGGCAGCCAUCAAAUGCUCCCCUUACAAGGGGCAUGUGGAGAUGGAGUUCCAGUGUUAGCAUUGCUGCUACCACAGAGCGUUUUGAUGGCCUAGGAGAAGUUUCUCAGGUGGGAGAUGGAGGAGGAACAACAGAGAGGGUACAUAUCUGCUGCCCACUUUGUCCUUAACCCGAAAUGUAUAACUGAAACAAACCCAGGUUAGAACUUUUAUGAGGAGACCUAAACUGCUCAUACAUAGAGGACAUGCUAUUGCCCUCCCACCAUGUCAGGACUUUUCAUAUUACAUUGUUAUGAUUUGUGGGCUAACUGAUGAACAGCGUCUCUGAAACUGUGACUGCUUGAUUGAAGAUACUAAGGGGACUGUAGGACAGACAUUUUUUGUUACCUUCAAUUCUGUCGCUUUUAGUAUUGUUGUCUGAUAGAACCUGCCACUAUAAAAAGUCACUGAAUUUUAGAUGUAUUCAGAGUACAGCAUAGUGCUUUACUCCAAGAACAAAGAUAAGUGCUUGCCUGGAAGUAAUGGAACAAUCUAUGCAAUCAUGUCUAAUAAUGGGAACUGCAUCAUGUGACACAUAGCUUUCAUAUGAAAAUAGGUAGACAUUUUAUAUUAUGCACAUAUAGACUUCUUAAUAAGUUGGAGAACAAGCCAAACAUCUGAUCAACUUCGAUGGGGUCCCAUGGCAUGGUUCACCAAUAACUGUUGAAUUACUGUUUUUUAUUUUAAAAAAUGUAUUUUCCCCUAUGGCUCAGAAAGCAUGUUUAAAAUUUACAUGUCAUAAAUAUGUAUAUUUUUUCUGUCGAAUAACCUUUCAUUGUCAAAAUAUUAAAAUUUCCAUAAUUCCAAAAUUCAGUUCACAUUACCAAAGUAGUGAAAUUCAAUUCCCAACUAAUAACAGUGCCAGCAUAGGAAGCAAUAAUAGGUAAAAUAUUCAGUAUUAGCAACAGAUUUAUUCCAUACCAGCUCUGUGGGAAAAUAGGUGCAGUUAUCUCAACUGCAUAAAAAGGCUAUCACAGACAAUCUAUUGCAGACUUCUCUUAUCCCCACGAAAGCACACCCAUCCCAUGUUCAUAUAGGCCAGUUAAUCAGUUGCUAAGAUUUCCCUUUCAAUUUACCAUUUCUCUUUGUUAUUGUUUAUGGGUCGUUUGACAACCUAAACAGUAGUAUCAUGGUCAAUGACAGUCCCCAUCAUGUUACCUGCAUGAAGGGUUGUAUGUUUUAUUUAUUUUUAUUUGUAAGUCAUUUCUAUGCUGAAAACAUUAUUACUGGGUGGUGCAGCUGUGACCACAGAAUUGUAGAGUUGGAAGGGACCCUGAGGAUCAUCUAGUCUAUCCUCCUGCAAUGCAGGAAUAUGCAGCUGUCCCAUACAGGGAUUGAAUGUGCAACUUCCAAGUGGGAGAUAACUAGUGCAUGCACCACUCUGGUGAGACAGUCUGCGGACAGGUAGGGUCUCUGCGCCAGUGUAUCAGGUGGAACUGGUAGACAGCUGACUUGGACACAGAACUGACCUGUGCCUCCGUGGACAGCUGUGAGUCCAAAAUGACUCCCCAGUUGUGCACCUGAUCCUUUAGGGGCAUGGUUACCCCAUUCAGGACCAGGAAAUCCCUCACACCUGCCUGCCCCCGUCCCCCAGAAACAGAACUUCUGUCUUGUCAGGAUUCAACCUCAAUCUGUGACCUCCAUUCACUUCCCAACCGAUUAAUGUUUCAGAGUCAAAUGGGGCCACAAAAUCUGAGUUGCUUAAGUCACACUUUCCCCCACUUUAGACUGGGACUCUGAUCAUUCUUGGGCUGCAUUCAGAUUCCAUUUUAUUCCAUCUUCCCAAUGUUUCCUUACAUGUUAAUUUUCACAUUUUAUGUGAUUUCUGACACAUAGUAAAUGCCAAUUCUGGAAGUCUAGUGGAAUCCAGCAGACAUUUAGCAUUUGUUCGUGUGUUAAUUGUUUCCAUAGAAAAAUAUGUUUGCAAUCCUGUUAACUCAGAAAAUGGUGGGAGUUUUGCAUUGUAAUUUCCCCUGUGGUUUUCAUGAUCACUCCACCACUGGUCAUGUGAUGAAAUUUUUUAUGGUAGCAUGGCAUACAGGCCUUUCUCGCUGUUUAUAAUUUAGUGUGACAUGGCAGUAUAUUGAUUUUUAAAAGUACUGCCAUGUAAAGGGAAAAUUUAAAAUUGGGACAGAAUCGCUAGCAUUAUUAUCAGUAAAACCUCACAUGUGAAUGCAGGCUCAGUUCAUAAUGCUUACAGAGUCUUUAGAACCUCCAAAACAGCAGAGACAAAGCAAGAUAAGUGGAAAACUUACAUUACCAUCAGAAUCGUAGUUCACUUGAUUCAUCGAGUAUGCAUCUAGUUUUUCUCUCUCAUUCAUAUCAGUAUAAAUUACUGUAAAUUAUUCACACACACUUCUAGAGACCUGCAAAGCCCUAAAUGAUCCCAGAUGCGUGAACACACAGCAAUUCCCUGUGAUGUAUCAUGACGUACAUGAAAGGUCAACCCCCAUUUCUGUUCUGCUCAUCCUUGAGCACCAUUUGAACAAUCUUAUUGUACGAAAUAACCACAAGUGUCAAUCUCUGGUAUUUCACCUAAAAAAUUAAUAAGGCUUUCCUGAGACAGCCUCCCUCAACUGUCAAAACCUUAACAGUGCUGAGCAAUGAGGCCUUGAGGGGUUUGAGGGUAUACGUUCCUCAGCAUAGGUGCAAUCGUUACUAUGUCAGGCCCAGACAGAAUCAGCUUAGCAAACAUAAAAAUGUGCUGUCAAUUUUUAAAUAUCCUAAGAGAAAAAUUACACUUUCUCUUCCCCACUGUUUUUGCAGCCAUAGUUCUUCACCAGCUUCUCCUGUUUAGAAAGCAUUGGCUGCACACCAUACCUGUAACAAAAGUAGGAGGCAAAAGUAUGAAAUCUGAAGUAAAUGGCCUUCUGUUCUUCAGCGGUCUCAGCCAUAGACACAGACCACUACCCAGGCCCUUGCACUCACAAGCAGCAAGUUCUCACCUUAGAGAAUUAAGAAAUUGUAUGGCUAGGACCAGGCCUACCACAAAAGCGAGUUGCUUAAGAAAGUGACAUAUUGUACGCAACUGAUGGCUUUGUGGGUUGGUCACAGGGACCUCAUUUAGAAAGGACCUGUUUGUGCAAGUGGUCAUUUCUGGGCUGCUACCAGGGGCACCAAGUUGUGCUCAACAUUGGAUGGGGCCCAUCACACGUGUGUGACAUCGCGUGGCAUCUCUGACAGAGAUCGCCAGCGUGCCUUCCUUGAAGGUGCUCUUUCAGUUUUCAAAGGGGCACGCCAGGUUCGCCCUUCCCCGUCUCUGGGGGAGAUUGCCAGCAUGGAAUAUUGAGGGGACCCGUCCCCUUCCUUGAAAUUUGGGGGUCCCACGGCCUCUCUCUCUCCCCCUCCGCCGAUGGUGCCCCUGGCUGCUACUAUUUUGGAUGUAAGAAAUGAAGACCUACGGCUGCUUUUAUUUUAUGAGCAAGAGCGCAAGCCCCAGUGACCAGGCAUCAAGAUAACAAAUGAGAUAAGCAUCUGUGUUUAUAGGGUAAAUAAAUAUGUAUUUAUUUGUUUUAUUAGAGCAGCAGCUACAAAUUGUAACAAGGGCACAGCAAAAGGUGUUGUGUAUCAGGAGCUAAAUCCCAGUGGGGUAAAUCCAGGAGCUGAAUCAUAGAAGUAAUAAGCCCACAGGGCAGCCUUGGGGGAGGGCCAGAGAAAAUUAUAAGUAGAAGCCUAGAUUUAGUCUCACAUUUCAAGUAAAUAUUAGAACAAUAAAAAAAAACCCAAGCACCUAACUUGUAAUUCCACACAGUUCUAAGUGUGAAAAUCAGCUUAAAAUUCAAAGAUGUAGACUUAACUUUCUGCUCAAGUGUAGACUUUAAUCCAAGCUAAAACUUUCAGCUUUCAGUUCAGUUUAAAAAUGAAUGCAACUAAGAUAAGAACAACCAAAGUGUCAGCUUUCAGUUCUAGGCCUUGUUGACAUAUCAAAAAGGAACAAAUCGCCAGGUCCAACUCAAGAGUUCUUAAAAAACUGAAAUGGAAAAUUGUUCAUCUUUUAACAAAAAUGUGCAACUUUGUCCUAAGAGCAGCCUUCAUACCUGAGAACUGGAAAAAAGCCAACAGAACACCUUAAAAGAGAGCGAGAUCAAGAUCCAGGAGGGAUAUGGGAAAUUACAGGUCAGUUAGUUUAACAUCUGUUCUGGGAAAAGUAGUGGAAAGCAUGAUUAACAACAGAAUUACCAAGCAUAUGGAAAAACAAGUCUUGCUGAAAGAGAACCAGCACGGCUUCUGCAAGAGUAAGCCCUGUCUAACUAACCUUUCUGCGUUCUUUGAAAGUGUCAAUAAACAUGGGGUGGGGUGAGCCAGUCUGCAAUGUGUGAUUAGACUUUUGAAAAGCUUUCUUUAAAAGCCCCACAUCACUGACCAGUAUGUCUCUGAAUACCAGCAGGGAGAGUGCUAUUGUGCUCAUGUCCAGCUUGUGAGUUUGUUAUAGGCAUCUGGUUGACCAAUACGAGAACAGGAUGCUGGACUGUGCAAGCAGGGCUCUUGGGGAUUGUUAGCCGCUUUGAGACUCCUUAGGGUAGUAAUAAAGCGGGAUAUCAAAUCCAAACUCCUCCUCCUCCUCCUCCUCCUCCUCCUCCUCCUCCUCCUCCUCCUCUUCUUCUUCUUGUGUUCUUAUGAGAGUCCCAGUGUACCUUCAACCCCAAUUUGCCAUAUUAAGAUUUGGUUUUGAGAUACCCUAUUUUUCGCUCUAUAGGACGCACCGGCCCAUAGGACGCACCUAGUUUUUUUUGGGGGGGGGGGGAAUAAAGAAAAAAAAUUUAUUCCCCCCCCCAGCUGUGGCUUCAGUGCCCACUGUGGCUCCGGGCAGCAGGCCGCUAUGCGCAGCCUAGGGAGCCCUGCGGGAACUCCUGCGGGCUCCCCAGGCUUGCUGAUAGCUUCGUGAAGCCUGGAGAGCGAGAGGGGUCGAUGCGCACCAACCCCUCUCGCUCUCCAAGCUUCACGAAAGCCUGCAUUCGCCCCAUAGGACGCACACAGAUUUCCCCUUCUUUUUUGGAGGGGGAGAAGUGUGUCCUAUAGGACGAAAAAUACGGUACAUUUGGUACAUUCAGUUAAAAUCUCCAGAAAGAUAUUAUGCUUAGUUUUGAUGAACUUUGCAUUUAUAAAAUGUGCUAUACUUCCUCCCUCUACAAACUAAAAAGCAAUCAUCAUGGUCACUCUGGACCUCAUGAUGGUGGAUAAAAGCUGAUCCCAUUGUCCUACUUUCAUAUUAAUAUACAAAAUGUGCUGCAUAAGAACCUUUGACUCAAGGGUAUUUAUAUACACACAUAUAUAUUUGAUAUCUAUUUUGAUUAGAUUGCAUUUUUGUUGUGCUUGCAAAACGCAACUGCUAAGUAGUUUUAGCAUUGGUUCCAAUGGACAGGGGGAAUAACAGAAAAUAAUUAAAGACUGCUUUGUCACUUGAAAUGCAGUUUAUAAAAUUUUUUUGCCUGUAAUUAUUCAGAUUAUAUUAGGGGGGAAAUGGGUAUUUGCUCUUUUAAUAUUCAGCAAAGGAUCUGUGGAUAAGGAGCAGCUUGACAAAUGUCUGGCUCAGGUUUACAGUUGUUUUGGGGGAUGGACUCAGGUGUGUGUUUACUUCUCUGAUAGCACACUUGUUUCUGUUAGCAUAGAUGUUAAUGCAAAUGUCUUUACAUUUUCUGUUUGCUUCAACAUAAUAUGAUGCAGAUAAUGGAUUCUUUAUUGCAGUGUGUCUUCUGGCUUUGCAGCUGCUUUAAUUUGAUCUGUCUGAUAGGUAGCUAGCCUUAAUAUUUUCAGUGCUUGAAAUUUUAUUUUGGCCUUCCUGAAAUUUCCAACCUAGUUUAUACGAAAUUAAUUCGUUCCGCGAGUUUUUUCGUCUUGCGGUUUUUUUCGUCUUGCGAAGCACGGUGUCGGAAAAGUUUUGGAAAAGCUUCAAAAAUCACCAAAAUCUUCAAAAACCUCAAAAAAGACUACCACACAGCAUGCUAUGAGUUGCUCCUCGAAGUCAAGUCACAACUGUAUUAACGGUUUUAAGAAAAAGGAAACAAACUUGUAAGACGUUUCCGUCUUGCAAAGCAAGCCCAUAGGGAAAAUCGUCUUGCGAAGCAACUCAAAAAACCAAAAACCCUUUCGUUUUGCAAGUUUUCCGUCUUGCGAGGCAUUCGUCUUGCGAGGUACCACUGUAUAUAUGAUUGGCUUUUAUUGUUGACAGGCUAGAAAUGCCUUUCCAUUCAGUUAAAGGUGUGGACGUUUUAUUAGGUUUAUAAAUUGCACUAAAUAUUUGAGUUAUGUUGCUGUUGUUUGUUUGUUUGUUUUUGUUGGUCAGGUUGUUUUGCAGCUUCAUAAGCCCCAAAAUUUGUAUAAAUGAAGGAAAUGUGUAUAGCAACAUUCAGAUACAUCACUUUCUACUGCAUUCAUGCUUGUUGUCUUCCAUUGAAAAUUCUUGUAACUGACAGUUUUCUGUAAGACUAUUUUCUCCCUCUUUAAAGAAGCUCAGUAGCUGUGAAAUUUUAGGAGAACACACCGGUAAUAAAUAAACAUUUUUCAUUUUUAUUCUUCUCACUUAGCUACUUUGCUAUUUGCUUCUGCCAACUAAUAUUGUGAAGAAUUCUCUGUUCUCAUCUAGUAUUUGUCAUACUCAUCAGUAUUAAUUUUUGGAACGAGAUUGUGUUACUUUUCUUCCCACAGAAAAGUGCCCACAGAAUAGUAUAAUUCAGAUUUUCUUCCUGGUGGGUUUCACAUCCUUAGAGUUCAGUCAUUAAAAGCUCUGAGGUAGUUAUCUCACGUUGCUUGUAGCUUGAUUUCUUCACAGACCAGGGUUAUUUAUGCUUCUUUGCCAAUUCAGCCCAUUUUCUUCCCACUGUUCCAGAGCAGAUUCUGCCAUUUUCAACACCUUCCGACAACAGUGAAAAUUACUUGUAAACUGAUAAACAGAAUAAGCAUUGAAGACUGGGGAACCAACUUCUGAUCAGAGGGUGACACUUUACGUGAGGCUGGACAGAUCAGUCUCUUUCAAGUCCAUGCCACUUUUACAUGUGCUCGUUCGUAAGGCUGCUCCAGCCCAUUCCCACAAAUUGUCUGUCAAUUAGUAUGUAUUUAAGUAUGUCUUUAGAUACUUAGACACGGGUGGCGCUGUGGUCUAAACCACAGAGCCUAGGGCUUGCCGAUCAGAAGGUUGGCGGUUCGAAUCCCCUCGACUGGGUGAGCUCCCGUUGCUCAGUCCCUGCUCCUGCCCACCUAGCAGUUCGAAAGCACGUCAAAGCGCAAAUAGAUAAAUAGGUACUGCUCCGGCAGGAACGUAAAUGGUGUUUCCGUGCACUGCUCUGGUUCGCCAGAAGUGGCUUAGUCAUGCUGGCCACAUUACCUGGAAGCUGUACGCCAGUUCCCUUGGCCAAUAAAGCGAGAUGAGUGCCGCAACCCCAGAGUCAUCCGCGACUGGACCUAACAGUGAGGGGUCCCUUUACCUUUACCUUUACCUUUAGAUACAUAUUUAAUAUAUUAAAACACAUAUUUUAUCUUAAGGUAUAUAUUUAAUUUUAAAAUAUUUUUAAAUACUGUUUUUAUGCUUUCUGGUAUGUUUUUGAACUGAGAACGGGCUGCAAAAUUUGAAACCCCAAAGGAUAAACAUGUUCCAAUAUUCACAAUAAUCCAGGAGGUGCUGAUCAUGUCUGUUUGCAUCAUAAUUCACAGAAAUCUAAUUCCUCCAGAAGUUGAGACACGGUACCUCUGGUUUCAGAAAACGAACUCUGUAGUAAAUGUAUUAAAAACAGUUGCUAAUCCUGCAGAAACUGCCUCGUCUUAUACCAGCAGUCAGUUUGCAUUCCAGGUGAAAGUUUAAUUGGCAGAGAGAUCACCACAGUCAUAAUUCAUCCCCAUCUCAAAAGUAAUUAAAAGAAGGGAGGUUUAACUAAUCUGAUGCCCUGAACACUAACCUUCAGGGCUGUUAUGCGGUGUCUGGGCACAAUGGCGGUUCCUCGCUCCAAGAUGCUCCCUGCAUCCAGAAACAUCCCAUCUCCAGUGUGAAAAAUAGCUAUCUUCUGAACAUUUGAGGUUGAUCCCUUGAUCUCCCUAUCUUCAAAGAGAGAGAGCUUGGAAACCAAGAUUGGCUAUCAUUAAUCAACACAUAAUUAUCUCUGUCGAUGGCUGGUCAGCCAUCUUUUCUCCCAGAAGUCCCAGUCCCAAUAAAAGUUUUUAGUCCACAUGAUCAAUGUUUCUUGCAAGAACAAAGCAAGUAUAGCUUUGUUUCCAUUUCACUCUUCCUUCAGAUCUGUACUUCACAGUUUAAAAGUCUAUUGAAGCAUUUGUCUACUCUUAAUUUUUCUCGCAUACCAAUAUGCUUAUUCAUGAUAAGCAACAUUUUUCAUAGUCAGCAAUUAUUUUAAGAGCACCUUCUUUAUUUACAGCUCUUUCAACCUGGAUUUGCAGUCAAUGUGUCCGUUCUGUUUCACAUUUGCCAAGUGUAAACAAAGCUGUCUUUCAUCACGCAUCCCUGUAGACAUGGUGCCUCUAGUAAAGCAAGCUAGAUUUACAACAGCUCUUUGUAAAUUGGUCACUAAUUUCCUUCCCAUCAUAAUCUCUAAGGCUAAUCAUCCAUUUAUUUUCCAGACACAGAAUGGCUCCUGCCAGUGAUUUCCUUUGCCUGAAUGCCUAUGCAAAUAUAUUCCGUCAAUGUGUCAUACACUAGUUUAGCUCCCUGAUAAUCUAUCACACUUUGACCUGGGCUCUAUCAUGCUGUAGUACAUGUUUGCAUUUGAAAGAGAAUUUCGUGCAGGCCACUUUCUCUUUCAAGGCAUAGAAGUCACUGUAGGCAGGGCAUCAUUUCACCGAAAAAUUAUCUGAAUAUUCUUCCAGAUAUUGGCAGAUUUGGAUGAUAGUUCAUGCUUUGGCCAAAAAGCUGAAGUGACCAAACCUGCAUCAGAGCAGCAUCUCUCUGCUCUUGGCCUGCAUGGAUAAUAGUCCAUACAUGGGGGGCGGGAUUAAGUGAGGAGGAGGACAACCAUCUUGAUCUCAUUGGAGAAAGAGAUGGAAUAUAAAUGAGUGAAUGAAACUAGCUAGCUAUUUAGCUAGCUAAUUCACUCACUAACAGAUUUUUAUAGUAACAUCUAGUUCUCUUGGAUGGGACCCGGGUGGCGCUGUGGGUUAAACCACAGAGCCUAGGACUUGCCGAUCAGAAGGUCGGCGGUUCGAAUCCCCGUGACUGGGUGAGCUCGCGUUGCUCUGUCCCUGCUCCUGCCAACCUAGCAGUUUGAAAGCACGUCAAAGUGCAAGUAGAUAAAUAGGUACCGCUCCGGCAGGAAGGUAAAUGGUGUUUCCAUGUGCUGCUCUGGUUUGCCAGAAGCGGCUUAGUCAUGCUGGCCACAUGACCCGGAAGCUGUACACCGGCUCCCUCGGCCAAUAAAGCGAGAUGAGUGCCGCAACCCCAGAAUCUGUCACGACUGGACCUAAUGGUCAGGGUUCCCUUUACCUUUACCAGUUCUCUCUGCUAUUCACCUAGGAAAACCUGCUCCCUCCCCCAUGAUAACUAAUGCUAGUUCGUAUCAGUUUCCUUACAGUGUCACUAGAGAUGUAAGAAGGCACUGUUUCCUGUUUUGCAUCCUUUGCAUACAGUAUUGUUGCCAUUCCACUGCAGUUUUUCUUCCACCAAGAACUACAUUAUGUGUCUCACUGUCUGCUGUGACAAAAUUAUAUAACUUAACGUAAUUUGUGUAAAGUAUGUAAGUUAUGUCGCCCUUACUUUGUCCUACCUUGUUCAUUUCAGUGCAAAGGAAAUGCAAUGCAAAUGAGGUGGGGGGGGCAUAAUCAAUUGCUUAUUGUUUGCAGACAGAAACCAAC
rnacentral:lncRNA from 1 species